rnacentral:rRNA from 1 species
GAUGAACGCUGGCGGUAUGCCUAACACAUGCAAGUCGUACGAGAGUUUUUAACUCUAGUGGCGGACGGGUGAGUAACACGUGAGAAUUUGCCUUUAGGAGGGGGACAACAAUCGGAAACGAAUGCUAAUACCCCAUAUGCUUUCGAGUGAAAUGGAUUUUAUCCGCCUAGAGAGAAGCUCGCGGCUGAUUAGCUUGUUGGUAAGGUAAGAGCUUACCAAGGCGACGAUCAGUAUCUGGUUUGAGAGGACGAUCAGACACACUGGAACUGAGACACGGUCCAGACUCCUACGGGAGGCUG